CAUAGCGACUAUCGUGGCAUAUCAAUAAGCGGAGGAAAAGAAACUAACAAGGAUUCCCCUAGUAACGGCGAGUGAAGCGGGAAGAGCUCAAAUUUGAAAUCUUAAAGGGUUUCCCUUGACGAAUUGUAGUCUAAAGAAGUGUUUUCUGUUGAAGUUUCGGUAAAAGUUCUUUGGAAUAGGACAUCAUAGAGGGUGAGAAUCCCGUAUUUGACCGUUACUUUCCAGCUGUGUGAUACACUUUCAAAGAGUCGGAUUGUUUGGGAAUGCAGUCCAAAAUGGGUGGUAAAUUUCAUCUAAAGCUAAAUAUUGGCGAGAGACCGAUAGCGAACAAGUACCGUGAGGGAAAGAUGAAAAGAACUUUGAAAAGAGAGUUAAACAGUACGUGAAAUUGUCAAAAGGGAAGCGUUUGACACCAGUGUUGUUUAGUUGAAAAUCAAUUCAAUAAUUUUUGAUUUUAAGUAGUAUUGACUUCAUCAGCUUGCUGCUUUCUUUUCGGAAAUUAUUGAAUGCACUUUUCAGUUAACAAGUCAACAUCAAUUUCUUUUGUUGUAAAAGGGUAAGAGGAAGGUGGCUUACGCUUCGGCGUAAGUGUUUAUAGCCUUUUACCUCUGCAAUCGGAGAGAUUGAGGACAGCAGCGUAGACUCCUUCGGGGGUUAGAUACACUUGUGCUAAGCUAUAGCCUUGUAUAGACAACUUGUUGACUAUGCUCAGUCAUGUAGCUUACUCGCUUGUGCUAUUUUACCUACGCUUAGGAUGUUGAAGAUAUGCGCGACAC
rnacentral:rRNA from 1 species